GCCUCAGCCACCCAGGCGCUUCAAGACUAUUAUUUCUUUAAAAAAUUUUUUCUGCACCAUGUCUCCCUCCUUUCCUCUGGGACUUGAUUGUCCCAUUGGCCCCUGAAGCUGUGUUUUGUUUUUUCCCUCUGAUUUUUUUUGUCUUUGCUAUUCAUUUUGGAUGAGUUCCACAACCCUACCUUCAAGUUCACUGCUCUUUUCUAACGUUUAGUAUCUACUUACGUUUAAUAUUCA